UUGUUCGUUUCUUUGCUUGUUUAUCAUGUGAAUGUUCAGCUGAUAUGUGAAUCUAACAGGCAUGGUAAUCCAUUGCCGCUGUUGUAUGUAUAUGGUAAAGGAAACAGAACAAAUCAACUUUUGUUUUGUUUUGUUUUGUUUUGUUUUGUUUAAAUAAAAAGUCAACAUGGCAAGACACUCACUUCUGCUCUGACUGACUCACUCUCAGUUUCAGUUCCAGGAAUGCCUAAGAGGGCAGCGUCAUCCCCUCCAAAACAUUUUUUCUUUUCAUAUGGGAUUAUAUCAGCAAGCAGCUGCCUCUAAACCAUUAUUUUUGCCAGACUGUCAGGCUGGCUGUGCCAGCUUCUCCCCGAAAGUAUUACAGGGACAGGGUAUCCCUACCGAAUAAGCCCUGGGGUAGCAGAGCUUUGCAGCUGGGGAGCCCCGAAGGGCAGCGCUGUUGCCAGCUGUGCAGCCUCCAGGGGAGCCGGGGCUGGGCGGAGGGGCCUGAUGAGUGCUCCUCUGCUCUCCUCUGCGCACUGCAAAUGAGAAAUACAGCGGCUAGCUACCAUGGAAAAUGUGUGUCCUUGCUGGAGCCCUGCAGCGUCACCCUGGCCCGGCUGGAGGGGCAUCCCUGCACCCAGGGAGCGGUCUGCGCGCUCCUCCUGGCGGCUCCGCUGCCGAGCCCUCAGCCCCCUGCAGCCUGGCCGGCCCAACAGGCAGCGCGGCGCUGCGCCCAGCCCUCACACCCGGCACUGCUCAGCGUUGUGUGGGGAGUGGGGCAGGCUUGUGAAAUAUGAGGAUUCGAUCAAACUCUGAGGUUACAGAGAGCCGGCGGCUGACUUUGAAUAUUAAGUAAGGAAGACUUUUUAAAAUGUAUUGUUGGUAACAGCUGUCAAUCUCAACCAAG